rnacentral:rRNA from 2 species
GCUUGCAUCAUGAUUUACAUUUGAGUGAGUGGCGAACUGGUGAGUAACACGUGGGAAACCUGCCCAGAAGCGGGGGAUAACACCUGGAAACAGAUGCUAAUACCGCAUAACAACUUGGACCGCAUGGUCCGAGCUUGAAAGAUGGCUUCGGCUAUCACUUUUGGAUGGUCCCGCGGCGUAUUAGCUAGAUGGUGGGGUAACGGCUCACCAUGGCAAUGAUACGUAGCCGACCUGAGAGGGUAAUCGGCCACAUUGGGACUGAGACACGGCCCAAACUCCUACGGGAGGCAGCAGUAGGGAAUCUUCCACAAUGGACGAAAGUCUGAUGGAGCAACGCCGCGUGAGUGAAGAAGGGUUUCGGCUCGUAAAACUCUGUUGUUAAAGAAGAACAUAUCUGAGAGUAACUGUUCAGGUAUUGACGGUAUUUAACCAGAAAGCCACGGCUAACUACGUGCCAGCAGCCGCGGUAAUACGUAGGUGGCAAGCGUUGUCCGGAUUUAUUGGGCGUAAAGCGAGCGCAGGCGGUUUUUUAAGUCUGAUGUGAAAGCCUUCGGCUCAACCGAAGAAGUGCAUCGGAAACUGGGAAACUUGAGUGCAGAAGAGGACAGUGGAACUCCAUGUGUAGCGGUGAAAUGCGUAGAUAUAUGGAAGAACACCAGUGGCGAAGGCGGCUGUCUGGUCUGUAACUGACGCUGAGGCUCGAAAGUAUGGGUAGCAAACAGGAUUAGAUACCCUGGUAGUCCAUACCGUAAACGAUGAAUGCUAAGUGUUGGAGGGUUUCCGCCCUUCAGUGCUGCAGCUAACGCAUUAAGCAUUCCGCCUGGGGAGUACGGCCGCAAGGCUGAAACUCAAAGGAAUUGACGGGGGCCCGCACAAGCGGUGGAGCAUGUGGUUUAAUUCGAAGCUACGCGAAGAACCUUACCAGGUCUUGACAUACUAUGCAAAUCUAAGAGAUUAGACGUUCCCUUCGGGGACAUGGAUACAGGUGGUGCAUGGUUGUCGUCAGCUCGUGUCGUGAGAUGUUGGGUUAAGUCCCGCAACGAGCGCAACCCUUAUUAUCAGUUGCCAGCAUUAAGUUGGGCACU